AGCGAACGCUGGCGGCAGGCCUAACACAUGCAAGUCGAACGAAGUCUUCGGACUUAGUGGCGGACGGGUGAGUAACACGUGGGAACGUGCCCUUUGGUACGGAAUAACUCAGGGAAACUUGAGCUAAUACCGUAUGUGCCCUUCGGGGGAAAGAUUUAUCGCCAUUGGAGCGGCCCGCGUCUGAUUAGCUAGUUGGUGAGGUAAAGGCUCACCAAGGCGACGAUCAGUAGCUGGUCUGAGAGGAUGAUCAGCCACAUUGGGACUGAGACACGGCCCAAACUCCUACGGGAGGCAGCAGUGGGGAAUCUUGCGCAAUGGGCGAAAGCCUGACGCAGCCAUGCCGCGUGAAUGAUGAAGGUCUUAGGAUUGUAAAAUUCUUUCACCGGGGACGAUAAUGACGGUACCCGGACAAGAAGCCCCGGCUAACUUCGUGCCAGCCGCCGCGGUAAUAC
rnacentral:rRNA from 1 species